CUUACAAUGCCGCUUGUUGGUGCUCGCGGUGUGGUUCACACGCCGCAGUUCAACGGGAAGCAGGAGGGAAUGUUCACGCCGAACGGACCUAACCUGCGCUGCCCCCGCAACGGUAAGCAGACGAGCCACCUGAUGCUCUCAGGUCGCUCCGCGUUCAUCCCACAGCCACUGGAGAACUGGUUCAGGCCAGAUCACCGGGAAGGCGAUGAAGGUCGAUCUGCCAGCCCGGAUACCGGCCAACGAGGUGGUGGUGCG
rnacentral:ncRNA from 2 species